rnacentral:lncRNA from 10 species
GUAAACACUUGUUAUUUAGGUAAUGUCAAAAAUAUUUUUAUUUUUCCAAUGUAUAUACUGAAGUAAAAAAUUAAGACAAUGAAGCCAGGUGCAGUGGCUCACACUUGUAAUCCCAGCACUUUGGGAGGCCAAGGCAGGUGGAUUCCUUGAGCUCAGGAGUUUGAGACCAGCCUCAGCAACAUGGUGAAACCCCAUCUCUACAAAAAAUACAAAAAAUUAGCCCGGUGUGGUGGCGCAUGCCUGUGGUCCCAGCUACCUAAGAGGCUGAGGUAGGAGGAUCACUUGAGCCUGGGAGGUGGAGGUUGCAGUGAGCCAAAAUUACGUCAUGCACUCCAGCCUCAGCUACAGAGCCAGACCCUAUCUAAAAAAAAAAAAAAAAAAAAAAAAAAAAUUAAGACAGUGUAUCAAAGUCACUGAAAGAGAUGAAACAAAAAAAAUUUUACUAGUAUUAAAACAGAUUAAGACAAUUCCAGUGUUCUUUCUACUCCCUCCUUCCCCCAGUUCUCCUGACCUUAAAAGUUUAGAACAGGUUGGCAAAUUUUUUUCUGUAAAAGACCAAGUAUUUUAGGCUUUGUUCCAGCUACUUAACCCUGCUGUUGUAAUGUGAAAGCAGCCACAGACAAUAUAUAAACAAGUGGGCAUAACUGUAUUCCAAUAAAGUUUUUUACAAAAGCAGGCAGUGGGGUUGUAACCUGUAGUUUGCUGACCUCUGACCUAUAACAAGUAACACUUCCUGAAAAGCCUUUCCUGAUACCCAUCAGAAUCAGGAGCUUUAUCGUCCUUGGCUCACAUAUUACUAGUAAAUCCACUUAGCACAUUUAUGAUCCCUUAUUAUAUAUUCAUCUCCAUUAGGGACUAAGUUCUUUGCAGGUAGGUGCCAUUUUGCUACAUAAGCCUCCUCAUGUUCACUCUAGUGAGUAUCUCACAGGGCAGACAUUCAAUGAAUAUUUGUUUCUAAAAAUCGUAUCUUCUGUAAAAGGACAAUAUGACACCAUUCAUAACAUUCACAAGAAUGAGCAGCAAGUUCUAAAAGUAAUUUUAAAGGAGUUUAAGGGGGGAAAAGCACUGCUAAUGUCACUAGGAUACAUACAUUGCCUCUUAUGCUCUAUACUGUGACAUGCUUAUCAGUAUUUUAUAAACAUACCUUGUGUGCAUAGAAGCGCAGACUCAGCACAGAAAUGCCUUUUUUUUUUUUUUCAAGCCACUAGAGUAUCAAGAGUACUAUUAGGUUUACAUCAGGUGCAUGAUAAAUGCUCAAAUUUAAAACAAACUUCUGGGAGGAGGAAAAGAUAUCCCUUUUUCUUUUCUUUUCUUUUUUUUUUUUGAGACAGGCUCUUGCUCUGUCACCAGGCUGGAGUGCAGUGGCAUGAUCUCAGCUCACUGCAACCUCCACCUCCCAGGUUCAAGCGAUUCUUGUGCCUUAGCCUUCCAAGGAGCUGGGAUCAUAGUGGCGUCCCACCAUGUCUGGCUAUCCUUUUUCUUAUGACAGGGAAAGGUAGCAGCAAAUACUUAUGAAGACUGGUUUUUUUUUUUUUUUUUUUGAGACGGAGUCUUGCUCUGUUGCCCAGGCUGGAGUGCAGUGGCGUGAUCUCAGCUCACUGCAAGCUCCGCCUCCCAGGUUCACACCAUUCUCCUGCCUCAGCCUCCUGAGUAGCUGGGAGGACAGGCGCCUGUCCGGCUAAUUUAUUUAUAUUUUUAGUAGAGACAGGGUUUCACCAUGUUAGCCAGGAUGGUCUCGAUCUCCUGACGUUGUGAUCCACCCACCUUGGCCUCCCAAAGUGCUGGGAUUACAGACGUGAGCCACCGUGCCCGGCCUAUGAAGACUUUUUUUUUUUUUUUUUUUUUUAGACGGAGCCUUGCUCUGUCGCCCAGGCUGGAAUGCAGUGGCCCAAUCUCUGCUCACUGCAAGCUCUGCCUCCCGGGUUCACGCCAUUCUCCUGCCUCAGCCUCCUAAGUAGCUGGG